rnacentral:rRNA from 1 species
CACUUGAGAGUUUGAUCCUGGCUCAGAGCGAACGCUGGCGGCAGGCUUAACACAUGCAAGUCGAACGGGCGUAGCAAUACGUCAGUGGCAGACGGGUGAGUAACGCGUGGGAACGUACCUUUUGGUUCGGAACAACCCAGGGAAACUUGGGCUAAUACCGGAUAAGCNNUUACGGGGAAAGAUUUAUCGCCGAAAGAUCGGCCCGCGUCUGAUUAGCUUGUUGGUGAGGUAACGGCUCACNAAGGCGACGAUCAGUAGCUUGUCUGAGAGGAUGAUCAGCCACAUUGGGACUGAGACACGGCCCNAACUCCUACGGGAGGCAGCAGUGGGGAAUAUUGGACAAUGGGCGCAAGCCUNAUCCAGCCAUGCCGCGUGAGUGAUGAAGGCCNNAGGGUUGUAAAGCUNUUUUGUGCGGGAAGAUAAUGACGGUACCGCAAGAAUAAGCCCCGGCU